UACAGAGGGUGCAAACGUUGUUCGGAAUUACUGGGCGUAAAGGGCUCGUAGGCGGCCAACUAAGUCAGACGUGAAAUCCCCAGGCUCAACCUGGGAACUGCGUCUGAUACUGGAUGGCUUGAAUCCGGGAGAGGGAUGCAGAAUUCCAGGUGUAGCGGUGAAAUUCGUAGAUAUCGGGAGGAACACCGGUGGCGAAGGCGGCGACCUGGGUAGAUACUGACGCUGAGGCGCGAAAGCGUGGGGAGCAAACAGG
rnacentral:rRNA from 1 species